rnacentral:rRNA from 1 species
UACAGAGGGUGCGAGCGUUGUCCGGAAUCACUGGGCGUAAAGGGCGCGUAGGCGGCUUGAUAAGCGUGCGGUGAAAGCCCGGGGCUCAACCCCGGGUCGGCCGUGCGAACUGUCGAGCUGGAGCACUGUAGAGGCAGGUGGAAUUCCGGGUGUAGCGGUGGAAUGCGUAGAGAUCAGGAGGAAUACCGAUGGCGAAGGCAGGUCUCUGGGCUGAUACUGACGCUCAUGCACGAAAGCGUGGGGAGCAAACAGG